GGAUGUUCCCCAAUCAAGGCUGCUCGGUGGGUUUCAGAAAUGGGAACACCCGUCCCUUCAAGCAUCCAUAGCGUGUGAACUGUAGGACUGUAGGGUGAAGGUCAUCCCAGAGCUCAGCAUUGAAACCAGCCGGAAAUUGUUCAGUUGGGGGAACUAGGGGAAAGGGAACAGUGAUGUGAAGGGCAGAGGCAGUGGUGGGAAGCCUGUGUGUGGCCGACGCAUGCUUUUACGCUGUCAUCACGGCCUUGCUUUCUAUAGCAGGGAUCUGAGAAGCAGGCAGGCAGCUGCUCUGCCUGAGACUGUCAGGAGUUGGUGGAUAUGAAUCCAUGUCUGAAGCCCAAGCUCUCGCUACUCUGCUGUCUCCCUGAGGGGUGCAUGAAGGCCCCAGCCCAGUCAGUGACACAGAGGUUGGGAAGACCAGGGCAUGAAGCUUCUGUGCUUGGAGAACAGGAGGGCUUGUGGAGCUGUGGUUGAUGGCGUGUCCAGGAAGCCUGGCCAGGGUGAGUAACAGGCCUUGUAUGUCAGGCUAAGAAAGUUGCCCUUGACAGUGCGGGACGUGGGGAGCCAUGGGCAGGUUUUCAGCAAGGACAUAAAGAGAUCAAUUCCAGGCUUUGGAGAGAGCACCAGGGUGCUGGGUGCAGGGAUAGGAGUUGGGGUGGGUACUGAGGGUGCCAGCCAUGAGGACAAUGGUGGCACCUGGAAGCAUGCAUCCCCAGGCUGUGGUGAGCAGCCCCGGGUGCCAGGCACUGGGCUGGGCACUGAAUCCCCCUUACCACACUGACCUGCACUACUGAGCUAUGGAGCUGGGGGUUGUCACACCAUCUGACGAAUAGGGAAAUGCAGGCUCCAGGUUCUGAGAGCAGGUGGAGUAAAGCACAUCCGCUGGGGGUGGCCCUGUGUGCCUGGCUCUGCGUCAGGCACUCGGGCCAUAGAGCCUCACCCAGUCUCAGAGGACACCGUGGCCUGUCUGCUGCUGCCCCUGGUGCUUCCUGGCAUCACUGGCUGGAAAGGAGGCUUUGGGGCCUCUGCACAUUUUCACCACCCCCCCAUCCUCUAAUACCUCUUUCCUCCUCCAUGGCUGGGCCUGGAGGAUCUUUGUUUCCAGCUGGGGUCUGGCAACAGCCUCACCACGAUGGCAUGGCGGUGGGCCCGGCCUCUACCCGCUGCGCCACAGCUCCUGGCUCCUGGCUCCAGGUCAUCUCUGCCCACAGCCAGCGUCUCUGCAAGCCUGCUCUAGAAGAUCUCUCUGCAGUCUCCCAGGAGGCAGCCCUGCCAGUGUCUCUGGAUCUGGCCUGCUGGACUCCUCCCCCUUCUCCCAUUCCCUGGCUGGGCUCCUCUUCCUUGGGACCUUCAUAGCUUGAUGAGAAGACAGUGCCCUCUCGGCCAGACCAGGACAUUAUUUGACAGUAGAGAAACUGGAGUGUAGACAAACACCAUGGAUGCUGUGUGGAAGAGUUGUUCCCAGCUGAAGAUGUCCCUCCUCAGUGAAGCCCUGCCUGAGCGCCUCCGGUCCUUCUCAGCAGCCAGAGGCUUCUCAGCACUUUUGCGUUCCCAUCUGGGUGGGAACUGCAUGGCCUGUUUAAGCACAAGGAGGGGGAGUGUGGGGAAGGGGGAGCAGAGUGAGUGGGGAGGCCAGAAAGGCAGGCACUGGUUCAUGUAGGGUGGUUGAUACAGUUUGGAUGUUUGUCCUCUCCAAAUCUCAUACUGAAAUGUGACCCUCAAUGCUGGAGGUGGGACCUGGUGGGAGGUGCUUGGGUGACAUGGGCCAAUCCCUCAUGAAUGGCCUGGUGCCCUCCCUGUGGUAAUGAAUUCCCAUGAGAUCUGAUUGUUAGAAAGAGCCUAGGUAGCUCCUCUCUCUUGCUCCAUCUGUCACUGUGGGACACCUCUGCUACCCUUCACCUCCCACCAGGAGGGGAAGCUUCCUGAGGCCCUGACCACAAGCAGAUGCUGCUGCCAUGCCUCCGGUACUGCCUGCAGAACUGUGGACCAAAUAAACCUCUCUUCUUUAUAAACGGC
ensembl:lincRNA